UACGGGGGGGCAAGCGUUGUUCGGAAUUACUGGGCGUAAAGGGCUCGUAGGCGGCCAACUAAGUCAGACGUGAAAUCCCUCGGCUUAACCGGGGAACUGCGUCUGAUACUGGAUGGCUUGAAUCCGGGAGAGGAUGCGGAAUUCCAGGUGUAGCGGUGAAAUGCGUAGAUAUCUGGAGGAACACCGGUGGCGAAGGCGACAUCCUGGACCGGUAUUGACGCUGAGUGAGCGAAAGCCAGGGGAGCAAACGGG
rnacentral:rRNA from 1 species